GUGCCCAUAGCUCAGCUGGAUAGAGCAACGGAUUUCUAAUCCGUUGGCCGGGGGUUCGAAUCCCUCUGGGCACGCCA
rnacentral:tRNA from 1 species